rnacentral:lncRNA from 1 species
CUGCUCCUGAGCUAGUCCCCCAACCCCCUUAAGAGAACAUUGUUUUGUAUGUUAAAAGAUUUCUUUGCUCAGGACUUCAGUCCUAACACGCUGGGAGACUGAGACAGGAAGAUGGCAAGUUUGAUCCCAUCUGGGCAAGAAGUGCGGCUCUGUCUUCAAAACAAAAGAAAGGAAACGAAAAUAGGACUUCAGGCCUCUCUCCCGUACAGAGCAGAUGUUCUCUCAUCCACUCAGUGCCUGCUUUUAGGGGUGUGACAGCGAGCUUGGAGCAGUGUCAGCAGCCCUAAGUGAUCCUGACAGCUGCCAAGGUAUCUGGUGUUUCCACCUCUGCAGAGUGGUGGGCAGGCCCCUUAAAGGCAGGAGCAGAAAGUGCUGCUUUCUCCCUGUUUUUCUACUCUGCUCUCAAUUGCAGGAAUCUUAUG